rnacentral:lncRNA from 1 species
AACUGGGAGGGACUGGGAGGAACUGGGAGGGAACUGGGAGGGACUGGGAGGAACUGGGAGGGAACUGGUGUUACUGGUUUAACUGGUCUCACUGGUGUUACUGCUUUAACUGGUGUUACUGGUCUCACUGGUGUAACUAACUGGUGUUACUGGUCUCACCAGUGUUACUGGUUUAACUGGUGUAACUCACUGGUGUUAUUGGUGUCACUGGUGUAACUGGUGUGUCUAACUGGUUACUGGUUUAACUGGUGUAACUGGUGUGUCUCACUGGUGUAACUGGUGUAAGUGGUGUGUCUCACUGGUGUUACUGGUUUAACUGGUGUAACUCAGUGGUCUCACUGGUUUAACUGGUGUAACUCCCUGGUCUCACUGGUGUUACUGGUUUAACUGGUGUUACUGGUCUCACUGGUGUAACUGGUGUAACUCCCUGGUCUCACUGGUGUUACUGGUGUAACUGGUGUCACUGGUCUCACUGGUUACUGGUGUAACUGGUGUCACUGGUCUCACUGGUUACUGGUGUAACUGGUGUUACUGGUUUCACUGGUGUAACUCCCUGGUCUCACUGGUGUUACUGGUCUCACUGGUUACUGGUCUAACUGGUGUAACUGGUGUAACUGGUGUGUCUCACUGGUCACUGGUCUCCCCGGUGUCCCCGGGCAGGGGUCCGGCGCGCCGUGGAUCUCUGUGCAGCCCCCGGGAGCUGGAGCCAAGUGCUGAGUCGGCACCUCAGGUGGGACUGGGAGCGCUGGGAGCCCAAACUGGGAGCACUGGGAGCGCUGGGAGCACUGGGAGCCCAAACUGGGAGCGCUGGGAGCCCAAACUGGGAGCGCUGGGAGCGCUGGGAGCCCAAACUGGGGGCACUGGGAGCCCAAACUGGGAGCACUGGGAGCACUGGGAGCCCAAACUGGGAGCGCUGGGAGCCCAAACUGGGGGCACUGGGAGCACUGGGAGCCCAAACUGGGAGUGCUGGGAACCCAAACUGGGAGCACUGGGAGCCCAAACUGGGAGCACUGGGAGCACUGGGAACACUGGGAGCCCAAACUGGGGGCACUG